GCGCAGCAGGCGCGAAAACUUUACAAUGCAGGCAGCUGUGAUAAGGGAACCCCGAGUGCCCGUAUGGACGGGCUGGUCAGGUGCUUAAAAACCACCUGGAGAAAGGGCCGGGCAAGACCGGUGCCAGCCGCCGCGGUAAUACCGGCGGCUCGAGUGGUGGCCACUAUUACUGGGCUUAAAGCGUCCGUAGCUUGGUCGUUAAGCCUCUGGGGAAAUCUUUCGGCUCAACCGGAAGGCGUCUCAGGGGAACUGGCGACCUAGGGAUCGGGAGAGGUGAGAGGUACUCUGGGGGUAGGAGUGAAAUCCUGUAAUCCUCAGGGGACCACCUGUGGCGAAGGCGUCUCACCAGAACGACUCCGACAGUGAGGGACGAAAGCUGGGGGAGCAAACCGGAUUAGAUACCCGGGUAGUCCCAGCCGUAAACGAUGCGCGUUAGGUGUAUCGGUGACCACGAGUUACCGAGGUGCCGAAGGGAAACCGUGAAACGCGCCGCCUGGGAAGUACGGUCGCAAGGCUGAAACUUAAAGGAAUUGGCGGGGGAGCACCACAAUGGGUGGAGCCUGCGGUUUAAUUGGAUUCAACGCCGGA
rnacentral:rRNA from 1 species